ACGGGUGAGUAACACGUGGGAAACUACCCUUUGGUGCGGAAUAACACAGAGAAAUUUGUGCUAAUACCGCAUGGGCUCUUCGGAGGAAAGAUUUAUCGCCAAAGGAUGUGCCCGCGUCCGAUUAGCUAGUUGGUGAGGUAAUGGCCCACCAAGGCGACGAUCGGUAGCUGGUCUGAGAGGAUGAUCAGCCACACUGGGACUGAGACACGGCCCAGACUCCUACGGGAGGCAGCAGUGGGGAAUAUUGGACAAUGGGCGCAAGCCUGAUCCAGCCAUGCCGCGUGAGUGAUGAAGGCCUUAGGGUUGUAAAGCUCUUUCGCCCGCGAGGAUAAUGACGGUAGCGGGAUAAGAAGCCCCGGCUAACUUCGUGCCAGCAGCCGCGGUAAUACGAAGGGGGCUAGCGUUGUUCGGAAUCACUGGGCGUAAAGCGCACGUAGGCGGACUUUUAAGUCAGAGGUGAAAGCCUGGAGCUCAACUUCAGAACUGCCUUUGAUACUGGAAGUCUUGAGUCCGGUAGAGGUGAGUGGGAACUGCUAGU
rnacentral:rRNA from 1 species